GUGCUCACGUCGACAGCACAUAUACUAAAAUUGGAACGGUACGGAGAAGAUUAACUUGGUCCCUGUGCAAGGAUGACGUGCAAAUUCGUGAAGUGUUCCAUAUUUUU
ensembl:snRNA U6 U6 spliceosomal RNA